CUUCAGAGCCCCUUUUUAAGUGCAGAAGUUUUAAAGAUCUUUUUUAUUCUUUUUUAUUUUUUAUCAAAAGAAAAAGAUUACGUUAAAGAACUUGAAGCGCUCUUAACGCACACAAGUAUGCUUAUGCAGGCCUUAAAUUUAUUGAAGUUUAUUAUUCUUAUCGAUUCACACGAAACAACUAUUCUUUGCGGUGGAGGCAAGGAAAUAUUUAUCCGCUUGACUCUUUUAUUAGAAAAAAAUUUGAAAAAAGC